GAUAAGGAUAGAGAAAGAGGAAAAAACCGAAGAUUUCACAUAGUACUUUUGAUCGAAAAAUCAAUCCGAUCUAUUUCGUACCCUUCGCUCAACGAGAAAAUGGAUCAGAUUCUAUAGGAUCAACCCUAUGGGACUUAAGGAAUGAUGGAAGGGAAUAAAAUAAAAUAAAAAAAAAAAAAAGAAAUAAAAAAAGAAAAGCGAGGGAAAAAAAUAAUAAAGAAAUAAGUAAAUAAAAAUGAAGUAGAAGAACCCAGAUUCCAAAUGAACAAAUUGAAACUGGAAAAGGAUCUUUCUGAUUCUCGAAGAAUGAGGGGCAAGGGA
rnacentral:lncRNA from 1 species